GAUUACAUAGCAGGGUGAGAUAGAUGAUACAGUAUGGUGAGAGAGAUUACAUAGCAGGGUGAGAUAGAUGAUACAGUAUGGUGAGAGAGAUUACAUAGCAGGGUGAGAUAGAUGAUACAGUAUGGUGAGAGAGAUUACAUAGCAGGGUGAGAUAGAUGAUACAGUAUGGUGAGAGAGAUUAUACAGUAUGGUGAGAGAGAUUACAUAGCAGGGUGAGAUAGAUGAUACACUAUGGUGAGAGAGAUUACAUAGCAGGGUGAGAUAGAUGAUACACUAUGGUGAGAGAGAUUACAUAGCAGGGUGAGAUAGAUGAUACACUAUGGUGAGAGAGAUUACAUAGCAGGAUGAGAUAGAUGAUACACUAUGGUGAGAGAGAUUACAUAGCAGGAUGAGAUAGACCAUACAGUAUGGUGAGACAAACUAACAGUAUGGUGAGACACACCAGACGGGGACUAAACUAGUUUGGCAAUUAGUCAGCCAGCCAUUUCUCGUCUUCAAAAGUACGAUUGCAUGACUGCUCUGCUCCUUUGAACAGGGUGUCCGCAAUGGUUUGAGAAGAGUGUGAUGGAUGAAUACAUAUACAGAGAAAGAAUAAACGUUAGGACAAAUAAAGGAGGAGACUGACAGGAGUUUUGUUUUGGACAAGAAGAACUCCAGUUAGCUUGUCAUCCAGCUAUAUCACAUUCUAAUCUCUGACACCGGGUAGAGAUGUUUCGUUCAAGUGUUUGUAAAUCUGGGUCACUAUCUUCCCAGCAUGCCAGUAUCUGGGUCAGACGUGACCGAGUUCCUCAGCUAAGUGGUUUUAAUAGACGGUCCUCGACUUCCUACACGUUGGUACGUUGGUACUGAAGUAUGUCAAGUGAGUCUAAAGAAGCUUCCUUCUAAAAUUAGUCCUGACACUGAAGAAGCUUUAGUCUGCGGCCGGAAGAAACAACCGAUCAACUUGGUUUCUGAUACAAAUCCACGAGCCAUCACGCUUCUCCGCAAGAUCACUGUGACCUUCGACCUUCGACCUGUCGUCCAUCGCUGCCGUCUGUGAGAUAAACAACGGCGCAAGGCAACGACAGCGAUGACCAUGGCUGCUGGCUGAGCAUCCUUACAGAAUGGUGUUGAUGUAUUGUUGUCCCUGCCGGAGCACAACUGAUGUUUCUUGGUGAGAUGACAGCGAUUCAUCACUGGUCUGGGGGAUGUUCUUGGCCGUUGCUAACCAUGCACUCCAGUCCCUGCAUUAUUAUUUUCAAGAGAGUUUCUCUUGGAAUUACACUCCCUCGUUCUUGUAAAAAAAAUCUGCUGAAGGAGAGAAAGCAUCUCAGAAUGAGACAUUUUUGAUUCACAAGCUGCAGUCUUUGACAACAAUGGCGACAGUGGCAGCUGCUGUGCGAACUCUAUUUCAGUCAGUUAAUGAUGCUGUCUGAUCUCAUUCCAGCAGACGACAGAAGAUAAAAUAUGUAGGACCACCUCAGACAACCCAAUCUAGACCGUUUAUCAUUAUUCUUGUUUUUGUACCGAGUUGUACCUCAUCACAGCGCGCGAUCGGACCAAAGAAAAAAAUGUUAGAACUCAUGUCAUCCGUAUUCUAAUACACUGUCGUUACAUAACAUCAAAACAUGGCAGUGUAAUUACUGUUUUAUUUAAGGUGAAGGUAAACAAGAGAGAGAGAGAGAGAAAAGCACGCGAUGCCAUGUUUAGCAAUCACGGUUUUCGAUCAAAGCCCAUCCGAGCGGAAUCUCAAGUUAACCAACAUCAAACCGCGACAAUAAUUUAACAAAUGACAGAUUAACGACUCCAAUAGCUAUUUAAUACUUUUAAAAAAGAAAACAGUAGCUGGAGAAGGCUUCACAGCUUGGUGACGUCAGCUGGCAAUCAGUGGCGACCAGGGACGUUAAUACAAGUUCACGGGGUGACCCCAGCUUGAAUGAGAGGUCAUCGUUGGGGGUCAGCACUCGACGGUCAUGCGCAGUGGUCGUGGCGAUGCGUCUUUGUGAAUGACUCCGCGAUCAAAACAUCCGGCUGUGUAGUAGCAAUCUCCGCCCGAUACCCUCCGACCCUUCCCGCUCCACAUCCUCCCCACCAUCUCUCUCCCAGCAGCGCCUGCGUCACAACGAUGGAGGUCAGCGGUUGCUGCUGCAGGGGUUCGUCGUCGUCGUCGUCAUCACACCAGCGACAUGGCGUCUGUCUGCACUGGUCCUGCACUGGUCCUGCUCCAGGCCUUGGUCUGGAUGUCCGUGUGUCAGACCAGAUGUCGACCUCCACUUCCCACCGCUACGUCGAUAAAUCGAAAACUCAAGCAGCUGCAGCUUUUGCUCCUCCAUCAACACGAGAGCUCGCAUCAUCUGCUCCUCCUCUUCACGUUGAGAAUGAAACCGGAAGUGCAUUCAACCAGCGGCCGUGUUACCGCGGGAACAUUCACCUGACAGCAAGAUGGAUGUCCGCGUGGUUCGAGAUGAAAACAAAAGUCUUGUGAGCCGCAGCGAGGUCGAAGGCCUUGACCUGAGUGACAUCAUGGGGUUGAGGUGACGUUCUCCUCCUGGCCCCGAGGAUCCCACAGCGCUGGACUAUUGUUGAUUGUAGUGAACAGUUGCGGGUAGAGCCGACAUAACGUACAGACUGGUGUUAUUCAUCCAUUUAUUCCACCUUCGUCUGGUACCAGUUGUUGGGGGUUGGGUGAGCACAUGGACUGACGAGCCCCGCCACUCACACCUGUCGUGGGCGAUGAUGAGCAGGUUCUGGAGAUGACGACCAGUCCAGUCUUUGACAGUCGUUAGCGAGGUCUUUCUCUGGCCACCCUGGUGUCCUCUACCUCCAUUGUACCUUGAAUGACAGACAGUCCGACAGGAGGUCGUGCCGAGUCAUCACGGGGGUCAACAGACUAAUCAACGCCGCUUGACUAUUGUACGAGUGUUGCCCAGCUUGCAGUAUCAGAGUCUUCGUCUUGUCCUCAAAAAAACUCCACAAGAUAUUAUUUACUCAACAUUGUGGAGGAUAUAAAAGAACGACAUCACUACUAUUUCUCUUCACCAACCUUGCUGCAAACAGUCACACAGCCCUCGACCCACGAAUGUUCAUUGGUGGACACCAGGACACCUUCCUACCACGUGUUCUGGACGCCGUAGUCAGCAUGCCAAGUACAGGUGUGGCGCCUGGAGAGAGAUGGCGAGCACGUGUGUGGUGGAUGCCUACACAGAAGUAGACUCCCUGAAUAUAAAUCGAAUUUUAACCUUAGUUAUUUGUUGUUCAAAAUUUUUAACUGGGGGAAACGCUAUUUUUACACUUCUAAUUAGAUCAACGAAGAGGAAUAGAUAGAUAGAAUUAGAUCAACCUUGGGGAAGAUCAGCCAAGGCGCAUGCGCAAAGGAAAAACGGAUGUUAUCAGCAUCUUGAUCACGUGACUGGAGUCAGCCGACCACAAGAAGCUGGUAGCACGAACACGUCACGAAAUCCCUGGUGUGGACCAACCACAGCGCCGUCCAGCAAGCAGCACAGUCAGAACGCAUGCCGCGAGCGGGUACGGGUGUAGGGAGGGGGAGAAGGAGGAAGUCAGUCUUCUCUUACCUCACCCUUUCUUCAAAAAAAAAAAAGAGAAAACAAAAUGAAGACGUGGGAGAGAUGAAGAUAGGGAAGGAGAGGGUCACGGCUGCCAAUCAUGUUGCUGGAGGAGGCAUGUCAGCUAUUAAAGUGAUUCAUCUUCUAACACCCGUCCUUCCCCGCUAAUCCCAGAUUUUAAGAAGGAAAAGAAGAAGAAGAAAAAAAAACCCAAUCAAACCCACGAUGUAUACUUAACGGCGCUCCGGAGAGAACCACACAACAACAACCUCCGGCGCGUUCUUGCGAAGAUUUAUCGGCUUAGACAGGUCAAGCAAACAAGCCCACGAAAGCCAUUGUCAGUCCUCAAACAGUAUAAGAAGAUUUUGUGAGAAUAAUAUUCUAAGCAAAGAAAGAGGGGAAAAAAAGACAGGAAAAAAACAGAAUCUUACUCAAAAUACGCAAAUACAACCACACACACACACUCUCUCUCCCCUCCAUCUACACAAAUACCAAAACACUCAUUUAAAAAUUUACAAAAAUAAAUCAAGAUCAGACUAGACAUCUACCAUCUCCACACCAUCUGAGUUCUUGUCUGUCUAUCCCUCCAUACCAUCUGAGUUCUUGUCUGUCUAUCCCUCCACACCAUCAAAAUAUUCCCCCUAUCGCGAUAUCAGAAAGAUUUACAGAGGACUCGGCUACUUCCAACAAAUAUUGCGAAGGCGGUGAAUCCAAAGAAAGAUGUUCAUCAACAACCAACAAUCUUUUUACAUGUUUAAUGAGCAGCUUCUUCUGUCGGUGUGUGACAGCCACAACACAAGACGCCAACGGAACAUGGCAGCAAAUCCAGACAGUCGAUGUGUGGAUUAAAAACAAGCAAGUAAACAACAUCAACAGUCAGAAAAGUCCCUUGAAAACCCGUCUUUACGACAUCACGGGAGGAGGUCGGCGAGUAGUUGUUGCGAAAUUUAAACUUAGCUCCACCCACCUCCUCCACUCCGAGACUAUUUCUAAAGGUUCAGCAGACAUUAGAGGAUCACCUGGCGACCCCACCUGGCGGUAAGAGCGGUGAGCUCAGGUAGUCACAAGUCCACGGCCUCCGCAGAAUGUCUUUUAGUAGUUUGUUUGUUGGCGGCGAUCCUUCCUUUCAUCCCGCCGUGCACUCGCUCACCCCCUGGAUGCUCGUCUGUGUGAGAGAGAGAGAUGGUCUUCGAUUUUGGUUCAUUGUUGUCCCAGCCUCCAAUCGCGACAACAAAAA